AGAAAGAGCGAGCGUCCCAAGAAGAUGGAGAAAAGGGGCAGAGGACGCAAAGGUUGGUCGGAGCAGACCGAGUUUCCGUGGAAGAAGAAGAAGACGAAGGGAUCAGAGCUCAAUGUGCGUGACCAUAACUGCAAACUGGAGCAUCUGGUAAAAGCGAAGGCAGGGAAGUAGACAAGCAUGUGCGGUAACACCGGUAGACCGCUUCGUGGAAGAUAAUACUUAGGAAGAAGAAGAUGAAAUAAAUCAAUGAGCACGCGAAAAGGACAAUUUCGCGGCUAUAGAAGGGGUGGAGAAGUGGGAAAGAGAGACGUGCUUUUAGAGGGAAAGAGAAUCCUGAAGGAGAGGGGAAGAUUUUAGAAUUUCGGGAGUUUGUUAACAAAGAAAAUUUGGAAAUAAAGAGAAAAAACUUUGGUUGAGGGAUUAACGAGGGAGAACGGAGGGCAGAUUAGACGAGGGUUUUAUGUGGGUUCCUUUUUUUGGGCUUUCAACUUCUGGGUAAAGAGAUGAAAGAUCGAGAGGUGGAAGAGGAAAUGUAAGGCAGAGAGAAAACUUUAGGGGUCCGAGGGCUAGGGUAGGAAACAGAGAGACCUGAGUGGAGGAAGUCCCAAGUACUUGGCUGUCUUCAGCCUCCCAUUAGCUUCAUCCAAUUUGUGCCCCAGCUUACAUCCUCGAGUUGUUGCUGUGCAAGUUUCCAAUUUUAUCAUGCAGAAUGCAGAGGUGAUCUUGAGAUUUAUAAGGAAACGACAUUAAAAAUAACCAAAUUCCUCUCUUCCCUUGGAUUUGAUCAAGCUCAAGUGAUGCCUUAGAUGCAGCAACAGAGGGGACUGGAUGACCAGUUGUCCACUUAAGCAAGGAAAUUCCAGGCACUCCAUGCUGCUGGGUUUUUGGGCAUUCAACUUUUGUCGCGAUGAAGAAAAAUAUCACUGCCAA